UACGGGGGGAGCAAGCGUUGUUCGGAUUUACUGGGCGUAAAGCGUGCGCAGGCGGUUGUGCAAGACCGAUGUGAAAUCCCCGGGCUUAACCUGGGAAUGGCAUUGGUGACUGCACGGCUUAGAGUGUGUCAGAGGGGGGUAGAAUUCCACGUGUAGCAGUGAAAUGCGUAGAGAUGUGGAGGAAUACCGAUGGCGAAGGCAGCCCCCCUGGGAUAACACUGACGCUCAUAGCACGAAAAGCGUAGGGGGAGCAAAACAGG
rnacentral:rRNA from 1 species